rnacentral:lncRNA from 1 species
AUGGUAGGGAGGCCUCUGCUGAAAGCCCCCCUCCCCCAGUACAGGCCCCCAAUGGAAACACUGGGGCAGGAAUUCAGAUGGAGCUCAGAGCCUAGUCGGAGGGGCUGGAGUCCUCGCCUGCAGCCUCCUUGGAUGGCCUGCAGGGCUGUGCCCCAGGUCUGCCUCGGUGGGGCCUGGAAGGUCCCACGUGGGGUGUGGGCCUGGGGCCGGACUCCUUAUCCCCUUUCUGCUUGGGAUAUACACCCUCCCUCCAACGGAUGGGGACCCUGUCCUCAGAUCCUCCCAUCUCGGCAGUGCCCACCUUUAAUGGACGUACCUGGGGCUCCAAGUCUGUCCACGUCCGGCCUUCCUGGAGGACCUGGCCUGACUCUUCCCCUCUGGUCGUGCACGUGGGGCUCCUGCUGCUCGUCCUCUGUCUCGAGUGACAACGCUCCGCCAUUCACAGAGAAGCCGUUUUGUUCCAUACCCGUCGCAGGGUGUUCCGGCCGGGCCUCAGCGUGAUGACGUAGCCUGGGGGCAAAGAUGCAGCCUCGCAGCCCCGUGCUGGACACGGGAUGGAGACGGUGUCCCCGGCCGCCAUGACCCGUGAGGGACGCGGGAUGGAGACGGUGUCCCCGGCCGCCACGACCUUGCUCUCGGUGCUGCGGCGGGGGCGGGGGGGAGGAGGGAGGCCCAGACGCCGCAGGACGCCCCCACGCAGGACCUCAAGGCACUCGGGGCUGGGGAGCCUGGGCAUCCCAGGACGCGGCAGAAGGCAGUGCCCGAGCCCUGGCUACACGCGAGGAGGACGUACCCAGGUUCGGUUACGUGUCAGUGAAGGGGGCGAGGUUCCCAGCCAGGACCCACGGGGAGCAGACGGGAAUGACAGAGUCCGGCGUCCCUGUAGCUCUCCUCCCUGGAGCGGCGGCCUUGAAGGCCAAGACCACAGUGAGGCUUUGGACCAGAACAGUGGUACCAGCCGUGGUCGAAACCACUCUGAAUGCAGUUUGACCGCGAUGAGGAGUAAGGCGCAGGGAAAACAGAAGGUGAGGGAGGUGAGCGGGACGUAGCUGAGGGUCCGGUUGUUGGCCUUGACCGUGAGAGGGCCUCGGUGCUUUAUGGGGACCCCAGGACCACAGCUGUGAGGACAGACGUCUGUGCUGGUCAGACCCUUCUCCAUAAAGGUCACAGCCUCUGGUCACAGGAAGCUGCUUGCUUACGAUUUGAGUCACGAUUGUCUGGACACUUCGCGCGCGUGUCUGCACACUUCGCGCGCUUGUCUGCAUCGAUGAGAACGCAGAGU